rnacentral:misc_RNA from 1 species
UCAGCGGGUAGUCCUACCUGAUUUGAGGUCAAGUUAUCAGACAAAUGUCAAUUAGAGAGCAGAGGAAAAGAAACUAACAAGGAUUCCCUUAGUAACUGCGAGUGAAGAG